rnacentral:rRNA from 1 species
GACGAACGCUGGCGGCGUGCUUAACACAUGCAAGUCGAACGAAGUGGCGAACGGGUGAGUAAUACGUGAGUAACCUGCCCUCCUUUUUGGGAUAAGCCUUGGAAACGGGGUCUAAUACCGGAUAAAGGGGGAUGGGCUCGCGGCCUAUCAGCUUGUUGGUGGGGUGAUGGCCUACCAAGGCGGUGACGGGUAGCCGGCCUGAGGGGGUGACCGGCCACAAGGGGACUGAGAUACGGCCCAGACUCCUACGGGAGGCAGCAGUGGGGGAUAGUGCACAAUGGGCGAAAGCCGGAUGCAGCGACGCCGCGUGGGGGAUGAAGGCUUUCGGGUUGUAAACAGCUUUCAGCCAUGACGCGGUAGUGGCAGAAGAAGCACCGGCUAACUACGUGCCAGCAGCCGCGGUAAUAC